rnacentral:tRNA from 1 species
GGGGUUGUGGCUCAGUGGUGGAGUGCUCGCCUAGCAUGUGUGAGACCCUGGGUUCAAUCCUCAGCACCA